rnacentral:rRNA from 1 species
ACAACCAGCCGAAAGGUUGGCUAAUACCGCAUGAGUUCUACGGAAGAAAGAGGGGGACCCGCAAGGGCCUCUCGCGAGCGGAGCGGCCGAUGACUGAUUAGCCUGUUGGUGAGGUAACGGCUCACCAAAGCAACGAUCAGUAGCUGGUCUGAGAGGACGACCAGCCACACUGGGACUGAGACACGGCCCAGACUCCUACGGAAGGCAGCAG